rnacentral:lncRNA from 1 species
UUGGACCAGUCCGGUGGUCCUCACCGGAGAAGAUGACCGGAGCUAGGGCUCCGGUGGUGCGCUGGAUCAAUCUAGACCAUCUGAUCUGGUUCUCAUGUUCUAAUUUCACGCGUCCAAUUUGAUUACCAAGCGUGUGGCACAGUUGACUAAGGUGUUUAUGGAACGCGCGCGCUUGGCCAUCAGAUCUGCCACCUCAAUUAUUGAGGG